rnacentral:rRNA from 1 species
UUUGCUGACGAGCGGCGGACGGGUGAGUAAUGCCUAGGGAUCUGCCCAGUCGAGGGGGAUAACAGUUGGAAACGACUGCUAAUACCGCAUACGCCCUACGGGGGAAAGGAGGGGACCUUCGGGCCUUCCGCGAUUGGAUGAACCUAGGUGGGAUUAGCUAGUUGGUGAGGUAAUGGCUCACCAAGGCGACGAUCCCUAGCUGUUCUGAGAGGAUGAUCAGCCACACUGGGACUGAGACACGGCCCAGACUCCUACGGGAGGCAGCAGUGGGGAAUAUUGCACAAUGGGGGAAACCCUGAUGCAGCCAUGCCGCGUGUGUGAAGAAGGCCUUCGGGUUGUAAAGCACUUUCAGUAGGGAGGAAAGGUGGUGUGUUAAUAGCACAUUGCUGUGACGUUACCUACAGAAGAAGGACCGGCUAACUCCGUGCCAGCAGCCGCGGUAAUACGGAGGGUCCGAGCGUUAAUCGGAAUUACUGGGCGUAAAGCGUGCGCAGGCGGUUUGUUAAGCCAGAUGUGAAAUCCCCGGGCUCAACCUGGGAAUUGCAUUUGGAACUGGCGAACUAGAGUCUUGUAGAGGGGGGUAGAA